UCUUCCGUAGUAUAGUGGUCAGUAUGUGAGCUUGUCAAAUCCGCCCCUGGCAGUCCGAUUCGCUCGAGACCCGGGUUCAAUUCCCGGCGGGAGAG